CCCUACGGGGCGCAGCAGGCGCGAAAACUUUACAAUGCUGGAAACAGCGAUAAGGGGACCUCGAGUGCCAGGUUACAAAUCUGGCUGUCGUGGUGCCUAAAAAGCAUUGCAUAGCAAGGGCCGGGCAAGACCGGUGCCAGCCGCCGCGGUAACACCGGCGGCUCGAGUGGUAACCGUUAUUAUUGGGUCUAAAGGGUCUGUAGCCGGCCGGAUAAGUCUCUUGGGAAAUCUGGCAGCUUAACUGUCAGGCUUUCAGGAGAUACUGUCUGGCUCGAGGCCGGGAGAGGUGAGAGGUACUUCAGGGGUAGGGGUGAAAUCCUGUAAUCC
rnacentral:rRNA from 1 species